UUUAUCUUGAGCCACAAGUUUUCCCAUCUUUACUCCUCCAUUUCUCUCCUCCAGCAAGCUGGUGGGGAGAGUGAGCCCCUGCGUGGCACUUUGUUUCUGGUUGGGGUUAAAGCAUUACUUGCCUUCAUUGUGGAUGCUUAAGGGCUGCAGGGACGCAUCUGCUCACCAGUGGCACAAAAUGGAGGAUGUUUCCCAAGAGCCCUCCCUAUGAAGACAUGCGGAAGAUUUGGCAUAUCUAUUGCAGCAUGAAACCCCGUGGAAAUCUUUGUUUGUGCAGGCACAUAAUGAGAAUUUGAGAGUAAUUGUCUGCAGGGAAAGUGUUAUGUCCCACAGCUCUGCAUGGAAAAUUUUGACAGAAUCAAGGGCUGCUGCCAUCAUUCUGCCAAUGCAGUAAGUGUGAUGAGCCUCUCAGAAGACAUCAGCAUGUGAACUCUUGUGUGA